UACGGGGGGGGUAAGCGUUGUUCGGAAUUACUGGGCGUAAAGAGCUCGUAGGCGGCUUGUUGCGUCGACUGUGAAAACCCGUGGCUCAACCAUGUGGUCUGCAGUCGAUACGGGCAGGCUAGAAUUCGGUAGGGGAGACUGGAAUUCCCGGUGUAGCGGUGAAAUGCGCAGAUAUCAGGAGGAACACCGGUGGCGAAGGCGGGUCUCUGGGCCGAUAUUGACGCUGAGGAGCGAAAGCGUGGGGAGCGAACAGG
rnacentral:rRNA from 1 species